GGCCAAAACUUGAAGUAGAGUAGAUUGGUAGGAUCAGCUGACCAUACUAAUGUACUCUAUUUCAAGUUUGCCC
rfam:Haemonchus contortus, ISE/inbred ISE, WGS project CAVP01000000 data, contig: Hcontortus_48886